rnacentral:rRNA from 1 species
GUAGGGUCCAAGCGUUAAUCGGAAUUACUGGGCGUAAAGCGUGCGCAGGCGGUUGUGCAAGACCGAUGUGAAAUCCCCGGGGCUUAACCUGGGAAUUGCAUUGGUGACUGCACGGCUAGAGUGUGUCAGAGGGGGGGUAGAAUUCCACGUGUAGCAGUGAAAUGCGUAGAGAUGUGGAGGAAUACCGAUGGCGAAGGCAGCCCCCUGGGAUAACACUGACGCUCAUGCACGAAAGCGUGGGGAGCAAACAGGAUUAGAUACCCUGGUAGUCCACGCCCUAAACGAUGUCAACUAGUUGUUGGGGAUUCAUUUCCUUAGUAACGUAGCUAACGCGUGAAGUUGACCGCCUGGGGAGUACGGUCGCAAGAUUA